rnacentral:lncRNA from 1 species
CUGAAAUACUCCAGGACAUUUCUGCUUUGUGACCGUGUUCAGCUGAGCUUAAUACAGAGCUUGUUGAUUAGAUCUUAAUUUGCCCCUUUACUGGAGGUGAUAGCCUUGAUUGCCUCAAGCUGUGGGGAUGGCAAAUUCCAGAUGAGGAAACCAAGAAAGACAAAGAUCAGGUGAACUGUCCAAAUCACACAGACAUUUACUCUGUGGCUGCCAAACUCCAAACACUUUUGACCUUGGUCCAACACACAAGUGAUGCAGCAGCUCUUCUGGCAACUGCAAGUCAGUUGGAGACCAGAACACAUUUCUCCCUUGUCCACGUUCCUGCAGUGGAUCCUUUCUGGGCUGCAGCAGCUGUUGCAGGGGAUUUUUUUCCCCCUGGAAAAUUCAAAUAUGGGAAUUUUGAUCAUCAGAAAGGUGAGUUGCAUUGAUAACUCUCUUCAGCUAAAAGAUG